ACUCAAAUGAAUUGACGGGGGCCCGCACAAGCGGUGGAGUAUGUGGCUUAAUUCGAUGCAACGCGAAGAACCUUACCUAGGCUUGACAUGCAUCUCUAAGUUGGUGAAAGCCAGCGAGUGGAGCAAUCCACAAUUUGCACAGGUGCUGCAUGGCUGUCGUCAGCUCGUGUCGUGAGAUGUUGGGUUAAGUCCCGCAACGAGCGCAACCCUUGUGAUCUGUUGCCACCGACCUUCGGGUCGAGCACUCUGAUCAGACUGCCCUGUGAAACGGGGAGGAAGGUGAGGAUGACGUCAAGUCAGCAUGGCCCUUACGCCUAGGGCUGCACACGUACUACAAUGCUCAGUACAGAACGAGCCGAGACCGCGAGGUGGAGGAAAUCACGAAAACUGAGCCCAAUUCGGAUCGCAGGCUGCAACUCGCCUGCGUGAAGCUGGAAUCGCUAGUAAUGGCGCAUCAGCUACGGCGCCGUGAAUACGUUCCCGGGCCUUGUACACACCGCCCGU
rnacentral:rRNA from 1 species